rnacentral:rRNA from 1 species
AGAGUUUGAUCAUGGCUCAGAUUGAACGCUGGCGGCAGGCCUAACACAUGCAAGUCGAACGGUAACAGAAAGCAGCUUGCUGCUUUGCUGACGAGUGGCGGACGGGUGAGUAAUGUCUGGGAAACUGCCCGAUGGAGGGGGAUAACUACUGGAAACGGUAGCUAAUACCGCAUAACGUCGCAAGACCAAAGAGGGGGACCUUCGGGCCUCUUGCCAUCGGAUGUGCCCAGAUGGGAUUAGCUAGUAGGUGGGGUAAAGGCUCACCUAGGCGACGAUCCCUAGCUGGUCUGAGAGGAUGACCAGCCACACUGGAACUGAGACACGGUCCAGACUCCUACGGGAGGCAGCAGUGGGGAAUAUUGCACAAUGGGCGCAAGCCUGAUGCAGCGACGCCGCGUGCGGGAUGGAGGCCUUCGGGUUGUAAACCGCUUUUGUUCAAGGGCAAGGCACGGUUUCGGCCGUGUUGAGUGGAUUGUUCGAAUAAGCACCGGCUAACUACGUGCCAGCAGCCGCGGUAAUACGUAGGGUGCGAGCGUUAUCCGGAUUUAUUGGGCGUAAAGGGCUCGUAGGCGGUUCGUCGCGUCCGGUGUGAAAGUCCAUCGCCUAACGGUGGAUCUGCGCCGGGUACGGGCGGGCUGGAGUGCGGUAGGGGAGACUGGAAUUCCCGGUGUAACGGUGGAAUGUGUAGAUAUCGGGAAGAACACCAAUGGCGAAGGCAGGUCUCUGGGCCGUCACUGACGCUGAGGAGCGAAAGCGUGGGGAGCGAACAGGAUUAGAUACCCUGGUAGUCCACGCCGUAAACGGUGGAUGCUGGAUGUGGGGCCCUUUCCACGGGUCCCGUGUCGGAGCCAACGCGUUAAGCAUCCCGCCUGGGGAGUACGGCCGCAAGGCUAAAACUCAAAGAAAUUGACGGGGGCCCGCACAAGCGGCGGAGCAUGCGGAUUAAUUCGAUGCAACGCGAAGAACCUUACCUGGGCUUGACAUGUGCCGGAUCGCCGUGGAGACACGGUUUCCCUUCGGGGCCGGUUCACAGGUGGUGCAUGGUCGUCGUCAGCUCGUGUCGUGAGAUGUUGGGUUAAGUCCCGCAACGAGCGCAACCCU